GGCCGGCGUCUUUAGCAAUGGAAAGUUGUAUGUGCUUUCUUUCCAAAUCAUGCAAAUGUUAUUGAGUAAAACUCAGAUUCAACGGUUGCAAGACAAUUCUUUCUGCAUGGCCUUUGAUAUUUCAAGUAGUUGGAGUCAAGACAGCGGUGUUCUGGAGCAUCAAUCUGCUUAUUAAAGCUUAUAAGUAAAGGCGGAAGGCCGAAACUUCUUGACUUCGGACACUUAAAAAGAAUGGUACAGUAAUCUUUUACUUAUCUGAGUGCCGAGCUGAUUACGUGAAUGAGUGGCAGCCGUGGAAUUGAGCUGAGAUGAAUAGCAUUGUCUUAACUUGUUGAGCAAAACCACUUUUCUGUAUUUACGAUUUCCAGGCUGCCAUAUUUGUCAUGUAUCAAUCCCCAGUUUUGAUACACACUACAAACUUGACUUGACUUAACAAGCUUAACCAUGGUUCACAUUGUAUACAAACAAUACCCAUAGAUGAUACACAGUGCUAAAAAUCAAAGUAAGGUACUUAGAAAUUAUACUGAAAACAGGCAUAAAUAC